rnacentral:misc_RNA from 1 species
UCCGGCUUGACGCCGGCAGUCUCGCUAGAGUGCCCAACUAAAUGAUGGCAACUAGCAACGAGGGUUGCGCUCGUUGCGGAACUUAAUCCAACACCUCACGGCACGAGCUGACGACAACCAUGCACCACCUGUCACCGGUGCCCGAAGGGGGCCCUUAUUUCUAAGGGCUUACACCGGGAAGUCAAGUCUUGGUAAGGUUUUCCGCGUAGCAUCGAAUUAAACCACAUGCUCCACUGCUUGUGCGGGCCCCCGUCAAUUCCUUUGAGUUUUAACCUUGCGGCCGUACUCCCCAGGCGGAACACUUAAUGCGUUAGCGGCGGCGCCGAAGGGGUCGAAGCCUCCGACACCUAGUGUUCAACGUUUAUGGCCAGGACUA